rnacentral:lncRNA from 1 species
CCCCCCCCAGCCCCAGGCUCCUGCACUUUGCCUUCUGACCUUGACCCUCUGUUCCCAGCUUCACCUGGCUUUGCAGCCAGGCCCACACUAGCAUGGUGCUGCAGCUGAGGGGCCGCAUCGUGGAAGACUUUGACCGGGAGUUCCGCUGUCUGUAUGCCGAGUCUCGGCCUGUGGAGGGCUUCUGCGGUGGUGAGGGUCCCGUAUCUCCCAGGGCACUGUGUCCUCCCACAGUGGCCCUGGGCUUCCGGCCCAGUGUGUUGAGCCCUGCAUCCUCCUCACCCUCCAGCACCAGCCUUAGCAGCAUCAAACGCUCACCUCUAAUGGACCACUCCUCUUACCUCAGUCCACCAGGAGGCGGUGGCUGCAGUGACACGGGUAUGGGGUCCUCAUCCCUGGGCCCUGCCUGCCGCGGGGCCAGUGGCCAGCCCUCUCUGAAGCGCCAGCUGUCUGACCCUAACCAUGGCUCCCUGCCAGGGCCCUACAGGUCCAAUCUAGGCAAGUUGGGGGUGUCCCCAUGGUCCCAGUCCUCCCCUGCCCUCAACCACAAUGGUGCCAGCCCUUUGACCCUGGCAGUGGGGUCACCUAUGCUUGCCCGCCAACGCCCCCUCCUCCCCUUCCCCCAGGGUGUUUCAGCCCUAUCCCGGCUCCCAGAGAAUGGGCUCCUGAGAAGCCAGGAGUCUAGUCCCCAACGAAGUCGCUGGGUACCUAGCACAGCCCUGGAGACAGUGGAGGAGAAGAAGGUGUCUCUGAAUCAGAGCCAUGGCCAGUUGGAUCUCCUUGUCCCCUUCCCCAGAGCCAGAGAAGCUGGAGGCCCUGAUUCUGGGGUUGACCCCAGCUUGGGCUCCUUCUGGCCUGGAGAGCAGGCUCCAGAGGACAGGCGGUUGUCCCCAAACCAGAGAUAUAACCAGCUGGAUCUCCUGCCUCAGACCCAGGGUGCUGGGGGUACCCCUGAGUCAGGUUCCCCCAGACCUGGCAAUCAAAUUCCAGAGGACAAGAGGCUGUCCUCAAACCACAGCCACAGCCAAUUGGACCUCCUGGUACAGUACCCCAAGGCUGGGGGCUCCAGAGUGUCCCCUGAAGCCAACUCCUCAGCCAGGGCUGACAAGCAAAGUCUUGAUGAGCGACGACAGACCCUGGGCCACAGCCAGCUGGACCUCAUCACAAAGUUUGGCCCAUUCCGGGGUGAGGGGCCUGGGCCCAGUGGUCUCCCCAGACCAAGCCCUGCUCGAAAGGCUGGAGUGGGCUCUGGGGAUGAGAAUAGGCUGACCCUGGGCCACAGCAAGCUGGACCUCAUUACCAAGUAUCAUCAAUUGCAGGGCACCAGGCAAGGACCUGACCCUGGCCUCCCUGGGGGCCCCACAGGUGGCCAUCACAAUGGCAGUAGCAAUGGCCUGUCAGGGGAUGAGAAGCGGCUGACCUUGGGCCACAGCAAACUGGACCUCAUCACUAAGUACAACAAGUCCAAGUUCAAACUUCUCCGGAGCCGCUUUGAGUCCUAGUUCUGCUCCCAGCAAGGACAUGUCCUUCCUCCAUCUACUUGGAUUCUAGAUUUACUCAGGUUCCAGACUCUGGGGUUCUCCAGCAGGGCUGCAUGAGGAGCAGAGGGUGUCUAGAAGCUCAAGUCAGAUACUCACUGAAUUCAGAAUUCUUGUUUACACACACACACACACACACACACACACACACACACGAAAAUAGAAACCACAGUACCUGCCAUUUGCCACUGUGCUGGGUACCUUACACAGGUUAAUUCUCAUCCUUCAUCCUCACAACAUUCUACAAGAUAGACCUCUAGCAGGUAUACAUUUCUAGGAUCAUAGGUACUAUCUUCCCUAUUUUAUAAAUGUGGAAGCUGAGGCCCAGAGAGUUUGAUGACUUGCUUGGAAUCAGAUCCAAGUGGAACCAGUAGCAGAGCUGGGGCCCAAACCCAUGUCCCUAAUGCUUAAGAUUGUGUUUUUGCACAGACAUGACACACCAUUAUCAACAGUUCACAUGUCCCCAUGCACACAAAACACACACAUCACAGAGAUGCCCCAAAUGCCUGUACAACACACACAACACCCUGACAGGGUUCAUACCCACAAACUGAAUACCCAUUGACACUCAGUAAGUAAACAAAGGUCCAUGUGAUAAACCCAAACACUCAGAAUUCUAGUUACAGGUACUCAAUAAAUGUAAUAUGGCUAAAUGAGUAGCGAAACAAAAUAUAUGCAUUCAGUGCACACUGUAGACCCCUCAGGAUCCACAGACAAUAAAUAUGCACAUAACCACAUACACACACCAUACACACACACAUAGGUAUGCACACAGCAACCAGUAUCUUCUUUGGCCUAAGCUGUGUACCUACCACAGGGCUGACAAGUGAGUCAGACUCAGGCCCUGGGAGAUAAGGAUAAAUACAUAAACCAAUGGCAGGCAAGACAGAGCUGUAUCUAACUCAAGGAAUCAGUGGCAGGGGGUGGUGACAGUGGAGUGGUGAGGAAAGUUUCAAAGGAGGCAGACUUUGAGUCAGCCCUUGAAGGAUGGGGAGGAUUGGACAGAUGGAGGAGAAAAGGAAUUCCUGGUAGAGGGAAGCAGGUGAAGAGAGGCCAAGGACAGGACAGGAUGAGUGGGUCUGAGAUGAACUGGGGAGGAUAUAGAGGGUGUGGAUACUCAGACUCUGACACACACACACACACACACACACAGAAGCAUAGGCUCCGAUAGGUUUUUCGUCUUUUCCUGAGCUCACCACCAGCCUGGGACAGUUUACACAAUACAAGUCAAUAAAGGCAGACAUGCUAUGACCCAGCAGCAGCCUGGUGUGUCCUGAGAAAGGUGGAGUUGUGGAACUUCACGUUGAGGGCUGGGGAAGAGCCAAUUGACCAUUCAGGCCAAUUGUGGAGGGCUCCCUGAGGGAGACGGAUGUUUGCAGAAGGGCUGAGGGGAGGACAGGGCUCCAAGCCCCCUCUACCCUCAUUGUGACAUUCUGAGAGGCCUUGGGGCUUGUGUAGACUCUACAAAAUGUAGAUCAAGUUCAUCUCAUCCAUGAGAGCAGGUCCCUUGAGUGCUACCAUCUAUCUCGAGGACAUAGUGGCUCCUGAGUGAGUGACCAAGGACAUGCAUAGUGGAAGCCAGUCAGCAUCCACACCACUGCCCAUCUGGACCCUCCUAAGACCCGGUUUCAUCCAUCCUUCCCUCUCUCCAAUACCUUCUUCAGACUGGUUUCUUCUACUUCUUGGCCACGUCUCCUUCUCCGACCUUUGUCCUGGUCUCAUUUCUCCCUACUGGACGCCUCCGUGGGUGACUCAUCCACCCCAGGUUUCAGCCCCAAAUCUCAGCCCUUCACUCUUCCCUGGGCUCCAGAUUUGGCCUGGACGUCUGUCCCAAACCUAACGCUCGGCAUGUCACUUUCCCCACACCUACUCUUUCUCCUUAGGCUUUACUUCAGUAAAUACUUCCAUCAUCAACUCGUCUUCUUCCAGACAUCGCUGGCUCCUCCUCUCUUAUGCCUCGCAUCCAACCAGCCACAGGUCUCGGUCAAUGGUACCUCCUAAAAAGCGCCUGAAUAAAUGAAUGAAGGAAUGAUUGGAUGAGAGCAUGCGUGGGGCGGGGCCACGUGGGGUCCAGACCGGAACACUUGCAAUCAUAGACUCCUCCCAGAGGGUGGAGCUACGGUGGCCGCCUGCAUAAGCGGGGCACUCGGCUUUCCCGGAAGUCUCUCUGGGCCGAGGCGGAAACGGAAACCUACCUAGGGCCGAGUGGAAGCUGUUGAAGCGUGCGGGGGUUGCUGUCGUUUGGUGAGCGGGUGUGGAGGGACGCCGGAAGGGACAGUUCUGGGCUCCCCGCGUCUUGAGUGGUAGUCGGAGGAUUCCGGGCUAGACAGUCUAGAGGGGUCCAGUGGGCGGGACCUGAGAUUUGAGGGGCCAAGAGGGGCGCGGUCGCGGCGGGCCCUGAAGGGCUGAGGCCGGGAGACCCGGACCCACGGCCGGGAGAGGAUUCGUUGGCCCUGAACUCCCGGUCCCGCAGCCCUUAGGCCUCAUGGCGGUCCGAGCGUCUUUCGAGAACAACUGUGAGAUCGGCUGCUUUGCCAAACUCACCAACACCUACUGCCUGGUGGCCAUCGGAGGGUCGGAGAACUUCUACAGGUGCGGUGGGAGCUCCGGUGUCUGCUGGCAGUGGGGUGGCUGGAUGGCUGAGAGGGUGCUGGGAGUCGGGGACUCAGACCCCUCAGCUCCUUAACCACUGAAUCCACAUCCCUACAGUGUGUUCGAGGGCGAGCUCGCCGAUACCAUCCCCGUGGUGCACGCGUCCAUCGCUGGCUGUCGCAUCAUCGGGCGCAUGUGUGUGGGUAAGCCAGACGCUGAGCGAGGGAGUGGAUCCUCCCAGAGCCUUUAAUUGUAACCUUGGAGGGGACUUCUAGUGACCCUUGGAUUUUCCGGCUUUCAUCCAUUAUCUCCAGAAACUAGAGAAUCUCUCUGGCCUGUGCCGGACCCUGUUUUUAAGUGCUUUCAGAUCAGGGACUAUCACUGGCAAAAGCUUCUGGAUCAUAGGAAAACAAAUAACAUUAAGUGCUUUCACUCUUAAACUUGAUUUCAAUCCUUCUUCACGAAGACCCUGGCAGGCAGGCCUUAUUGGCCUAAUCUGACUAAUGAUGAAGCCAAGAUUCAAGGAACCCAAGUGACUCACCAAGUACCACACCUUCCCUCCACACCUGGGAGGGAAGAUGGAAAUGUCCUCUCUCCCUUGCCACUGACUCUGGGCAAGUUGCUUCCUCUUUCUGAGGAUCCAGUUCUGCCUCUACAAAAUGACAAGCUAAGAUUCUGGGUCAUCUUGUUCAUUAUCCAUUUAAGUCUUAAAUUGGCUUUACCAUGUCUCUGAGUGGCAUCCCUAUCCCACUCCCCUACUUCUCAGCACUGUUGAGUCUGGCCAUUGGUCCUUUAUUUGAGCUGGAUCUGUCUCCCUUUACUGUGACCCCUUACUUCUAGUUCUGUUCAUUGGGGUCAUAUGGGAGUUUUUUUUGUUUGUUUGUUUUGUUUUUCUUAAAUCAUAAGCCUGAUGACCUUAGCCUCUGAGUAUUUUCUUAUUCAGGCCAAACACUCUUUGGCCCUAACUAUGACCUUUGGACUUGUCGCUUGUUGUUUUUUUUUUUUUUUUUUAAUAUAUAAUGGGUGUAACUCAGAGUUUAGAAAUUCAAGAGUUGUGUUCUUGUGGAGGCAGGCAGAGGUUUAGUUAUUGUUGUCACAAUAUAAUUGUAGUUUGUUCAUUCGUAUUGUGUUUUGUGUAAAUAUACCACAUUAUAUUCAUCCAUUUUGUUGACAGUGGGCAUUAGGGUAGUUUUCAGUUCUAAUAUGAAUAGGGUUGCUAUGUCUUUUAGUGAACACGUGUACAUGUUUCUGUUGGAUGUGUAAUACCUAGGAGAGGACUGGUUGGGCACAGGGUAUGCGGAUAUUCUAUAUAGUAGGUGAUGCCAGAUAAUAAUCUGAAGUGGUUGACCAAUUUACACUCCUAUUGGUUGUUCCAUGUAUCUUUGCCAGCAUUUGGUAUUGGCAUUCUUUUAAACAUUUUAGCCAUUCUGAUAGGUGUGUAGUGUUACCUCAGUUUUCAAGUAGCAAAAUAUAUAGCUAACGCCAAGAGCUCCUCUUGUUAGUCCUGGUCCCCCCUGGUUGAUGAUGGCAAAAUGGGCAGGGUGUGUUGGAACAAAUUCCUGGGCUGUCUCUGGCCUGCCCAAUGGGACUCCUGGUCCCCUGGGUGUUGUAUGGAUCAAUGGGUUAGCGGGCUGGGGUCUGGGCCUAAAGCUUUCCUGGGGACACUGACUGGGCUGGAUUGUAUCUAAAACCCCCAAAGCUUAGCAGGCUACUUGUGUAUUUGUGGUCCAUUCUUGCCCCACCCCCUAAUUUGGAUCUCUAGGGAACAGACAUGGUCUCCUGGUGCCCAACAACACCACUGACCAGGAGCUACAGCACAUUCGCAACUGCCUCCCAGACUCAGUGCAGAUCCGGCGGGUGGAGGAGCGGCUCUCAGCCCUGGGCAAUGUCACCACUUGCAACGACUACGUGGCCUUGGUCCACCCAGACCUGGACAGGGUAAGGUAGCCCAAUUUCACCCAAGAGUCACAGGACCCGCCUAGUCAGUGGUCAGUCAUUGUUCUUGCCUGUCAGGCAGGACUUAGGGGUGUCUCUUGUGGUUUCUCUUUAUACUUGGGCUCUCAGAUUUCAGGCACUCAUUGGAAUAGUGAUAAUAGUGAUAAUAGAGGUGUGACCAGUGCCAGAAAGAAGCUGAGGAGGGUAUUAAUCCUCCAAAAUCAGGGAGACUGCUCCGUCCCAUCCUGCAACCAGGACCAGGAGAGAUGAUUGACAAUUGAACUCUUAAGUGUGGGUUAGAGGGAAGAGGGUGAUGUGGAGACCAGCCCCUGCCUCCUCAGGGCAUGCACAGCUAUUAGGGACUCCAUAGCUGGUCUAGACUCUGCUCCAACCUGUAUUUCCUGGUUUUUCUGCAUGAAGCUUCCAUAUGCAGCUAGGUAGCAGAGGGAUGAGGGGCUUAGGGAGCCAAGCCCUGGGUGGUUCUGGGUGUGGAGGGCCCCUGGUUCCUUGACCUGGAAGUUCUGGGCCCUGAGUACAGUGCCUUUGGCUAACAGGAAACAGAAGAAAUCUUGGCUGAUGUGCUCAAGGUGGAAGUCUUCAGACAGACAGUGGCUGACCAGGUGCUAGUAGGAAGCUACUCUGUCUUCAGCAAUCAGGGAGGACUGGUACAUCCCAAGACUUCAAUUGAAGACCAAGAUGAGCUGUCUUCUCUUCUUCAGGUCCCCCUUGUGGUAAGCAUUCCUUUCUCUGAUCUCUGUCUCCUCCUGAGGCAAAUCCUUUGCCUAGCAUUAAGGAUCUGAGUUAUUAUCUGUCACAGUUUGCGAUUGGGGAUGCAGGUCAAGGAGCGGGGUUUGGGGAUAGUCCUCGCCAGGGAGUGGCAGGACUGUGGCUUUUGGUGCCAUGAUCCACACUGAGCUCUCCCUUGGCAGGCAGGCACUGUGAACCGAGGCAGCGAGGUAAUUGCCGCUGGGAUGGUGGUGAAUGACUGGUGUGCCUUCUGUGGCCUGGACACAACCAGCACAGAGCUGUCAGUGGUGGAGAGUGUCUUCAAGCUGAACGAAGCCCAGCCUAGCACCAUUGCGACCAGCAUGCGGGAUUCCCUCAUUGACAGGUAUCUGGGUCUCUCUUCUGCCUUUGGAGGGUAGAGGAGGGAGAUGCCACCUAGGAUGGGUCCACACUGCAUUCAUACUGGUAGGUCCUUGUGUGUGAGGGCACACCUGUGCAUUGCUGAGCAGUCACAAGGUACAGCCAGUGAGCAUUGCCUGAGUGUCUGCUCAUCCCCAUCUUUGAAGACUCAGCUCAGUGUCCCCUCUCUGGGCAAAGCUUCCCUCUGGUCUGUCUUAUUUUCUCACUGACCACAUUGUUUUGUAGUUUGUGUGUGCUUGUGUGUCGGUGUCCCCAGCCAGCAGCCCAGAGCCUGAGACCAAAAAGAGCUGUUUGCAGAGGGAAGGAGGGGAAGUUGCUCUUAGAAACUAAGGAGACCCUAAAGGACUUGUUGGGGGUGGUGAUUGCAUCAAAAUCACAAUCGUCUGGAUUUUUGUGGGUUUAAGAAAAAAGUGGGAUCUUGGGCCUAACCCUGGAGGUUCUGGGGUAUGAGGCUCUGGAAUCUCUUUUUCCUUUGGAGGAGCAGCAGGUGCUGAUAUUUACCUUUUCCCAUUGAGGAUUCUUCUCAAGGCAUGCCACACCCAAGUAUCCCAGCAAUCUUUAUGAGGAUAGAAACCCCAUAUGCCCAUAGUAGAGCAAGUACCCAGUGACAGACCCCCUACUUUACAACAGGCAAAAUUACCCUUCAUUCUCCCUUCUUCAUUCAUUUGUUCAUCUGAUGUUCACUGAGCCCUGUCGAUAGGGCUCCAUGUAGGAUAGGCAGGCAACUUAGCCCUGUGUCCUGCCUCUAGGAGCUCACAGUGUAGCCGAGAAGUUGUAGAGGCCACACGUAACUCUUCACUGCCUUCAAAGAAGAGAUAAAAGGUGCCUUAGGUGGCUCAGGAAGCUCCAGUGAAACACUCUGGUAUCCCGGAAGGUUUUGUCGGGGGCAAAUCAUUUAGUCUGGGCCCAGGGGAAUGAGUAGACAUUUGAAUAUGCAGAGAUGGAGUAGGAAAGCACUUCAGACAGACCCAGAGGUGGGAAAGUAUGGAGAGUGUGAAAGGGCAAGGUAAUAUUGUCAGAGUGUCAAAGACCCUCAAUUCCCAUGUCAAGAAGUUUUGACUGUAGGCCUGUGAUUUUUGACCUUUAGUCUAUGUUGGGAUGCUUGUUAAUAUAGAUUCCUGGCAUCACCCCCCAGUUACCAAUUCACUCUGGAGUGAGACCCAACCAUGUUUGGUUUAUUUUAAUAAGUUUCUCUGGGUAAUUCUGAUGGGGAAUCAGAAUUGAGAGAAUAGUUGAAAGGGUCUGAACAGGAAAGUGGUACAGUAGUUCUGUCAUUUGUUCAGUAGCUUUUUUUUGAACGUGCCAGAAAAUUGUGAUUUGGUGAAUAAGAUAUACCCACCCUGCCCUUGUGGAACAUAGAAUCUUACAAAGAAGGCAGUACAUACACAAUCAUUUAAUUAAAGGACAAAACAACAACAACACCUUUUAGCCUAAGAACAGAAAGAAAUUUUUGCAAUCUGUAAUUGGUACCUACCAAGAAAACUACAGCAAAUGUUGUAUUUAAUGGUAAAACUUCAGAAAUUGCUCUUAAAGUCAGGCAGAAUUGCCCACAGUGACCAGUACUGGUCAGUAUUUUGGUGGUUCUUGCUUAUGCAGUUAGGUAAGGAACAGAAAUGGAUACUGGAAAGGAAGAGCCAAAACUCAUUAUCCUUCUUUGGUUUUGAACCUGUUGAGUUUGAGGUGCCCAUGAGAGCUGAUAAUGAAGGUGUCAGGUAGUUGAUUAGAAGUAUGUACUUUAGGGGCGCCUGGGUGGCUCAGUUGGUUAAGUGUCCGACUUCAACUCAGGUCACGAUCUCGCGGUCUGUGAGUUUGAGCCCCACGUCGGGCUCUGGGCUGAUGGCUCAGAGCCUGGAGCCUGCUUCCGAUUCUAUGUCUCCCUCUCUGUCUGUCCCUCCCCCGUUCGUGCUCUGUCUCAAAAAUAAAUAAAUGUUACAAAAAAAAAUUUUUUUUUAAAGUAUGCACUUUAGUUUUAUAAUUGUACAUGUAUUUUAUAUCUCCUGUAAUUUUUCUUUUGUUAAAUGUUUAUUUUUGAGAGAGAGUGAGAGACAGAACAUGAGCAGGGGAGGGGCAGAGAGGGGGACACACAGAUUCCGAAGCAGUCUCCAGGCUCUGAGCUGUCAGCCCAGAGCUCUAUGCAGGGCACGAACUCACAAACCAUGAGAUCAUGACCUGAGCUGAAGUCAGACACUUAACUGACUGAGCCACCGAGGCUCCCCUGUAUACGUACUUAUUACCUCCAGAAAGAAUGUUCUGGCCUCAUCCCUGCCACUGAGGGAUUUGUGGUCUGGGCACAUCCCUUCUCUUGUGAAUCCCCUUACUCCCUUCUCUGAUGUUUGCUGGACUUGAGUUCUGAGGCUCUGGUUUGUGAUUGAUAACAGUGAACAAAUUGAGUUGAGUGGGGAAGGAGUUACUGUUAGUUUUUAAGCAUUGAGAGUUCUGACUGGAUUGUGACUCAAGGAAGCAGUGUAAUCUGGAAAGGGCUCUGAAUGUGGCUCUUCAGGGCUGAGCUGGAACAAAGGGGUGAGGGUGGAGGCAAGCAUCUUAAGAAUAAAGGGUGGGGUAUGCUCUGAGAAGCACCUACUGACAGUGUUCCUUCUCUCUCUAGCCUCACCUGAGUUACCUUCCAUUGCUGUUCUGCGGGUUCCUGCCUCUGGACUUUGGCUCCCUCUGCCCCACCCAGCCAGGCAGCCAGUUGGCAGAGAACUGACUGGGAGUGAGUGGCUGAAUGCCCAGCUCUUCACCUGUGCCCAUCUCCUGAAUCUACAGUUACUUCAAACAUCUGCCAUGUUGUGCUGUCUGUCAGGCCUUAACGGCUCCUGACUGACCACUCUCUUUCCUGUACCACCCCCAUUAAAAGGCAGCCUGGCUAUUCUUGAAUGUGUUGUUUGGGGGCCUCCACCUGCAACCCUCCUUCCCUAGCAUUGUUCUGGGGGAAAGUGGGUAGGACACACACACACACACACACACCCCUCCCACCCACCCACCCCCACCCCCCCAGUCUCACAAUUUCCCACCCUCCUCCCGGGAUCAUCAGGAUGGGGGUUGAUGAUUGUCCCAGGGCAAGAGGAGGAAGCACUCUCUACUGUAGUUCUAGCCUUUUCCAUGCGACUUCAGUCUCCUACUUCUGGGGUUGAAGAGAUGAGAAUGUUCCAGCUCUCCUCUAGGCCCGAAUGAGGACCUGUAAGGGGUCUGGAACACCUGGCUUCAGGGCAGUCUUGUCUUCUUUGACCAAGGUGGAUGGAGAUUGCUGGCCUGGCUGCCAGGUGCCAUGGAGAUUCUCAGAAAACUGGCAGGCGCCUUCCCUUAGCUACAGUGCCUGUGGAGCCAGGAAGCGUCUGGAUGAGUCCUUUGUGGCUUGUGGGGGCGGCUCCUUCAGUCUCUUGCUGUGUGCGGGGCGGGGCCCCGCGAUGUUGGAGCAGCAUUGGCCAGUUACUGGUGGGUGGGGUCGGGUACGCAACCCCGCAGCAGCGGCUAGGGGGCGGGGCCUGCGUGCGGUGAGGUCACGACGCCGGCUCCUCCCAGCGCAAGUACGCAGGCCAGCGGAGUGCAGUCGCCGGCUCUGGGACCUUGGAGACCCGUGGCUCGCGUGGUGAGAGAGGAGGGUCGGGCCGGGGCGUGGCGGGACGACCGGGUCGCGUGCAGCUGACCCGCAUCUAACGGCUUCUCUUUGCAGACGAUGGGUGCUCGGCUGAGCGGCGGCCAGGGCGCCCCAGAGCCCGUGCAGGCCCAGCCCCAGCCCCAGCCCCAACCCGGGGCGCCCGAGGCCCCUGAUCGGCCCCAGCCUGAACCCAGUCCCUGGGGGCCACUGGACGAUGUGCGCUUCCUCAUCACCUGCACCUCCUGGUACUGACUCGACACCCUCCGCAGUUACUGCCAGCUGCCAACUGUCGUUGUGCUGUUAUGUUCCUCUGUUGUCCUUUUCCAACCCCGGCGCCCAGGACAGGCUCGGAGAGUCGAGGAGAUAGAUCACGGAGGACUGGAAGGAGGUCUCGGCAGGGCCUCUUCGGCAGCCUCGCCAUGGGGCACUGGCUCGCCUCUAGUUCCUUCCGAAUUUGUUCGCUUCUUAGCCUGCACCCAAACCAGCUUAAACCUUCGUGCUCACCCCCACCCUACAGCUUCUCCAGCCGUCUGGGUUCUGGGGCAGCCCUCCCUGGCCCUGGCUUCCAGAACCAGGCCAGGACUCCUGGUAAGACCCCAAGACUGCUGACCUCACCUCCUCUCGUCUGUUCCUUAUUGCUAAGAACCGGGCUGUUGCUUUUGUCCCUGGUUAUGGCACCAUGUGCCUUGGCUUCGGAGAAGACCUUGCCACCCACAGUGACCCUCCCUGUACUUCUCCUGGGGGGGGGGCUUGCUCUGCCAUCCUGGAUCCCAGUGAGGCAUUAUCAGGUUGUGUUCCAGGAACCCCAGUAACACUGGGCCUCUGGGGCCAGCCUUUUUGAGAGAGGGGACAUUUGAUUGCUGGGCUGGUAGAUGAGAUGCAUGGGACAGUUCCCAGACACCCCAAAGCACCCUGUUCCCCCUCUCCUAGAAGUUUCUUAAGGCCACUCCCAGAACCUGAUCCUUGUUCCUAUAUCCCAAGAAAACAACACACUCUGUAUUUUUGUUUUAUUUAGAAAUGAUUUAAAAAACAUUAUACAAAGGCUGAUCAGUUUAAAAUGUGACCGACACUGAAAUGCUGUGAUAUUCCCCGGGCCGAGGGGAAGCUGGGCUCUGGGGUCCCCAGUGCAGUGCCCCUUUGUCUGUCUGCCCUGUCCUGGGGUGAUGGACAAACAGAUGACCACAAGACAGGAGAAUCUGAGAUUGGAAGCCUCCAGGCUGAGCCCUCUCUGGGCCUGGCCCUGCAUCCCUCACAUCUGCAGCCUGAGCUGCCUGCCUCCAUCUCCUGCUCUUUCUCAGCUGGCCUUGGUAGUACCAGGAGCCAAUGGGGAGCCUGGGGAGCCUAGAGCUUUCAAAAAGAGAGAGCACCAACCUGAGGAGUGGAGAGGGACCGGGAAGGGGAGAAGGGAGGCCAGGAAAAGAUGGAUAAAAGAGACACUUCUGAUCUCAUCUUGGACCCUAGAGGGGUCCAUAGGUGGGGACCCAAGGCCCAGCCAGCCCACCCGAUGGCCUGGGCAAGAAACAAUCUCUCUGUGCUUCAUUUGAGGGCACGGUGAGAGUUACCCUAGGCUUCCCAGGGCCUGCACGAGUUUCAUGUGAGUGGACAGGUAUGAGCUAAUAAAGUGCUUUGCAAAGUAUAAAACACUAUA